AGCAGGCGCGCAAUUACCCAUUCCCGGCACGGGGAGGUAGUGACGAUAUGUAACGAUACGGGACUCAUCCGAGGCCCCGUAAUCGCAAUGAGUAUACUCUAAACCUUUGUGCGAGUAUCAAUUGGAGGGCAAGUCUGGUGCCAGCAGCCGCGGUAAUUCCAGCUCCAAUAGCGUAUACUUGUUUUGUUGCGGUUAAAAAGCUCGUAGUUGGAUCUGUGUCCCGCACCGCCGGUUCACCGCCCGUCGGUGUCCAACCGGCGCGCUCGCGGGACGUCAAGCCGGUGGCGGUCGUGGCCCGCGGUCGGUACGUACGGGCCCGCCCUCGCGCGGACCCCGAAGGCCUUCCCGGGACCUACGGCCGCCGCUUAAAUCCCGUCGCGGCGAGCCUUCACCGGACCUCGCCGAGGCGGGCCGGCACGUUUACUUUGAACAAAUUAGAGUGCUCCAAGCGGGCUCUCACGCCCGAAUAACAGACGCAUGGAAUAACGGAAUAGGACCUCGGUUCUAUUUUGUUGGUUUUAGGAACCGAGGAAAUGAUCAACGAGGACGGGCGGGGGCCUUCGUACUGCGACGUUAGAGGUGAAAUUCUUGGAUCGUCGCAAGACGGACAGAAGCGAAAGCGUUGGUCAAGUACGUUCCUGUCGAUCAAGAACGAAAGUUAGAGGUUCGAAGGCGAUCAGAUACCGCCCUAGUUCUAACCAUAAACUGUGCCUGCCAGCGAUCCGCCGAAGUUCCUCCGAUGACUCGGCGGGCAGCUUCCGGGAAACCAGAGCUUUUGGGUUCCGGGGGAAGUAUGGUUGCAAAGCUGAAACUUAAAGGAAUUGACGGAAGGGCACCACAAGGAGUGGAGCCUGCGGCUUAAUUUGACUCAACACGGGAAAACUCACCAGGCCCGGACACCGGAAGGAUGGACAGAUUGAGAGCUCUUUCUUGAUUCGGUGGGUGGUGGUGCAUGGCCGUUCUUAGUUGGUGGAGCGAUUUGUCUGGUUAAUUCCGAUAACGAGCGAGACUCAAGCCUGCUAAAUAGGCGUACCCGGUAUCCUCACGGCUACCGGCGAUACAUAAAUCUUCUUAGAGGGACCGGCGUCUUGAGAAGACGCACGAGAAUGAGCAAUAACAGGUCUGUGAUGCCCUUAGAUGUCCUGGGCCGCACGCGCGCUACACUGAAGGAAUCAGCGCGUCCACCUAGUCCGAGAGGGCCGGGCAACCGCUGAACCUCCUUCGUGCUAGGGAUUGGGGCUUGCAAUUGUUCCCCAUGAACGAGGAAUUCCUAGUAAGCGCGAGUCAUAAGCUCGCGUUGAUUACGUCCCUGCCCUUUGUACACACCGCCCGUCGCUACUACCGAUUGGACGGUUAGGCGAGGCCUUCCGACCGGCGCGUGGAGACCGUUCGCGCGGCCGCCUGGUCGCCGGGAAGAUUGCCGAGCUUGGUCGUUUAGAGGAAGUAAAA
rnacentral:rRNA from 1 species